AUCGGACGGUAGCACAGAAGGAGCUUGCUCCUCGGGUGACGAGUGGCGGACGGGUGAGUAAUGUCUGGGAAACUGCCCGAUGGAGGGGGAUAACUACUGGAAACGGUAGCUAAUACCGCAUAACGUCGCAAGACCAAAGUGGGGGACCUUCGGGCCUCACACCAUCGGAUGUGCCCAGAUGGGAUUAGCUUGUAGGCGGGGUAACGGCCCACCUAGGCGACGAUCCCUAGCUGGUCUGAGAGGAUGACCAGCCACACUGGAACUGAGACACGGUCCAGACUCCUACGGGAGGCAGCAGUGGGGAAUAUUGCACAAUGGGCGCAAGCCUGAUGCAGCCAUGCCGCGUGUAUGAAGAAGGCCUUCGGGUUGUAAAGUACUUUCAGCGGGGAGGAAGGUGCUGAGGUUAAUAACCUCAGCAAUUGACGUUACCCGCAGAAGAAGCACCGGCUAACUCCGUGCCAGCAGCCGCGGUAAUACGGAGGGUGCAAGCGUUAAUCGGAAUUACUGGGCGUAAAGCGCACGCAGGCGGUCUGUUAAGUCAGAUGUGAAAUCCCCGGGCUUAACCUGGGAACUGCAUUUGAAACUGGCAGGCUUGAGUCUCGUAGAGGGGGGUAGAAUUCCAGGUGUAGCGGUGAGAUGCGUAGAGAUCUGGAGGAAUACCGGUGGCGAAGGCGGCCCCCUGGACGAAGACUGACGCUCAGGUGCGAAAGCGUGGGGAGCAAACAGGAUUAGAUACCCUGGUAGUCCACGCCGUAAACGAUGUCGACUUGGAGGUUGUUCCCUUGAGGAGUGGCUUCCGGAGCUAACGCGUUAAGUCGACCGCCUGGGGAGUACCGCCGCAAGUUGAAACUCAUAUGAAUUGACGGGGGCCCGCACAAGCGGUGGAGCAUGUGGUUUAUUUCUAUGCAACGCGAGGAACCUACCUACUCUUGACGUCCCUCCAGCUUACAUAAAUGAAUUGGUGCCUUCGCGACGCUAAAACAGUGCUGGUGGCUGUCGUCACUCCUCUCUGAAUGUUGGUUUAUUCCCUCACCAGCGCACCCUUAUCCUUGUUGCUGCGAUCGUCGGAACUCAAGGAAAUACCGGCACAGCCGGACA
rnacentral:rRNA from 1 species